rnacentral:misc_RNA from 1 species
AAGUCGUAACAAGGUUUCCGUAGGUGAACCUGCGGAAGGAUCAUUAUCGAGUCCGGGCUCUCUGAGCCUAACCUCAGACCCCAUGUUUAAACACAUUUUUUUCUUUGGCAGACCUUGAUCGUUCAACGACGUCAAGCUCAUGCACCCUCUAGGGUACAAGAGUCGUGUCUGUCAAGAGUUUUUAUUUUUAAAAUCUUUUUGAAAAUCCAUUUCUUUUAUGAAACUAUUAAAAAUAAUGCAACAAAA